UGAAAGGCGAAACGUAAUGUGAAUCGCAACUAACAGUGAAUCAUCAAAUCUUUGAACGCAUGCCGCACUUUUUGAUAUGUCUUCGGACAUACUGGAAAGUAUCUACAUAUGAGUGUCAGCCAUUUAUAUCUUUGGUUCAUGAGGGAGCAAAUCUUUACCAACCUUACUAGGAGAGGGAAACCUCGUUGAUUAGUUUGGCCAGUUAGAUAAGGCAGUUUCUUGAUUCGUUAAGACAACUCGAUGCCCUAAGUCAUGAAUUCUCAGGUGUCUUUGACACACCCCACCUUGAAAUAUAACUCAUUGUGUCUGGCCUCAUAUGUAGAAGAUUACCCGCUGGAUUUAA
rnacentral:misc_RNA from 1 species